AAAGGGAUGCGCAGGAAACAAUGACUCUCAUUGUCGAGUUCUCAUUCGUGAUCAAGGGCAGAGCAACAGAGACAGCAUGCCAGAGAGGAUCAAGAAGGCCGUGGGAUUAAGACUUAACCUUGGGUUUGUCGAUAGCCACCGUCAUCUAUGGGCUGAGAGAUCUCAGGAAAGUCACUUGAAUCUCUAGUCUUUAUUUCUUUGUCUGGUCUGCUUAGGUGACACAACCAGAGUUGCUGCUAGGAUGCAAUGUCUAGUGAACCAACAAGCCAAGUCCAUAGGGGUUUGGAGACUCCCUCUCUCUGGAGGAGCUGCACCAAACAGAGGCAGGUGUGGCCGCCAAGCGGCCGAGCAUCCAUCACAGAGGAUGGUUUGGAAACAGUAGGAGCUUUCCUCUGCCCGAUGUCCUGUGGCAAGGCCCUCCCAGACAACUAAGACGAAGGAUGGUGGUGUCACACUGCUCUAGCCCUGUGCCUCCCUGCUGUCAUGCGCUCAACCAUGAUGAGCAUGGACUCACCCUCUGAAACUCACUUGGCCCAGGUACCUCACACAGGACUGAAGAUGAGAAGGAGAUACCUAGGCAAAUCUGCCUAAUUUCCCUGAACUCUGUGUAGUCCAAGUACCGCAGCUUGACACAUCCAUAUGGCUUUGCUUUCUUGGGCAAUUGCAGCCUUGGCAGAGAAUGAGAACACCCGCCCUUGACAGGAACUGUAUGUGAAUGAAAGGCUUCAGGUGCUGGGCUGGCUCCCGACUCCUCUGCAAAAGGAAGUGCCUCCCACUUGGCUUGGUGCAGCGAUGGUACAGCAACUCAGUUCGGCUCCUCUUUGGAAUGAUGACCUGGUCCUUACAGCCCUUCCUUUGUUGCUGUUUCAAAGAUAAGCUAAGGUGAAGGUGACCUUCAAGGACAAAACAAAGUCACUUCCGGUGCUGUGAGUUGUGUUCCUAGACAUUAGAAUAAAACUAAUUUAA